AAGGAUCAUUACAGAAAGUAAACGCGGAUCAAACCGCGAACUUUUAAACCUUUGACGAUUGACUCAUGUUGCCUCGGCGGGUUCUCCCGCCGGAGGAUACAUUAAAACUCCUGUUUUUAACGGUGUUGUCUGAGCUACAAGCAACGAAUCAAAACUUUCAACAACGGAUCUCUUGGUUCUGG
rnacentral:misc_RNA from 1 species